AUGGUUGUCGUCAGCUCGUGUCGUGAGAUGUUGGGGUUAAGUCCCGCAACGAGCGCAACCCUCGACCUUAGUUGCCAGCAUUCAGUUGGGCACUCUAAGGUGACUGCCGGCUAAAAGUCGGAGGAAGUGGGGAUGACGUCAAAUCAUCAUGCCCCUUAUGACCUGGGCUACACACGUGCUACAAUGGGCGGUACAAAGGGUCGCGAACCCGCGAGGGGGAGCCAAUCCCAAAAAGCCGCUCUCAGUUCGGAUUGCAGGCUGCAACUCGCCUGCAUGAAGCCGGAAUCGCUAGUAAUCGCGGAUCAGCAUGCCGCGGUGAAUACGUUCCCGGGCCUU
rnacentral:rRNA from 1 species